CCUUGAAAAGCUUUAUAGGUGAGGAGGAGGAUUUUAAAUUCUAUUCUACAUUUUACAGGGAGCCAGUGCAGAGAAGCUAGUACAGGAGAGAUUCAAUUUCAAUUCAAUUCAAUUCAAUUUUAUUUGUAUAGCGCCAAUUCAUAACAGAAGUUAUCUCAGGACACUUUUCAAAUAGAGCAGGUCUAGACCGAACUCUUUAAAACAUUAUUUACAGAGACCCAACAGUACCACCACGAGCAAGCACUUGGCGACAAGGGCAAGGAAAAACUGCCUGUUAAAAGGCAGAAACCUAGGACAGAUCCUCCGGCUCUAGGUGGGUGGUCGUCUGUCUCGACCAGUUGGGGUGAGAGAGAGAGAGAGAGAGAGAGAGAGAGAGAGAGAGAGAGAGAGCGACAGACAGACAGACAGGUGCACA